AACGUAGGAGGCAAGCGUUAUCCGGAUUCACUGGGCGUAAAGCGUGCGUAGGCGGUCGGGUAAGUCGGAUGUUAAAGCCCCUGGCUCAACUGGGGGAGGUCAUUCGAUACUGCUCGGCUUGAGGAUGAGAGAGGAGAGCGGAAUUCCCGGUGUAGCGGUGGAAUGCGUAGAGAUCGGGAGGAACACCAGCGGCGAAAGCGGCUCUCUGGCUCAUAUCUGACGCUGAGUGCACGACAGCGUGGGGA
rnacentral:rRNA from 1 species